AUUGAACGCUGGCGGCAGGCUUAACACAUGCAAGUCGAACGAGUGGCGGACGGGUGAGUAAUGUCUGGGAAACGGCCCGAUGGAGGGGGAUGACUACUGGAAACGGUAGCUAAUAUCGCAUACCAUCGGAUGUGCCCAGAUGGGAUUAGCUGUGAGGUGGGGUAACGGCCCACCUAGGCGACGAUCCCUCGCUGGUCUGAGCGGAUGACCAGCCACCUUGGAACGGGGACACGGUCCAGACUCCUACGGGAGGCAGCAGUGGUGAAUAUUGCACAAUGGGCGCAAGUCUGACGCAGCCAUGCCGCUUGUAUGAAGAAGGCCUUCGGGUUGUAAUGUACUUUCAGCGAGUAGGCGUUACUCGCAGAAGAAGCACCGGCUAACUCCGUGCCAGCAGCCGCGGUAAUUC
rnacentral:rRNA from 1 species